UAAUUCACUCCUUAUAAAUUUUUACGAUUUCAGUAUAUGUUUUUACGGCAAAAAAACUUGAAAUGUACGCUUUCUUUCUCCGAUCAAACAUGCAAUUGAUUUCAUCGAGUUCAGCCGCAUUUUCAUCCUCCAGAUCUCGAUUUCAGAACGGCGGGCAGUGAGAAAAUAAAAGAGGCUGAACAGAAAGUUUUUACUGCCUUACUCGCGUUCUUUCACUAAGAAGCGGAUGUGGGUAGGUCCGGGCUUUUUUUGUAUUUUCGGCAGUGGUUCCGAUGUGGAACGAACUACCGGUAAAUAUCUGCGAGUAAUUGAGAUGUCUCAACGAGGAGAAGAAGCCUUAUUUGGAUAAAGCUGUUGAGCUUAAGGAUGAGUAUGUCAAGGCCUUGGAGCAAGAAAAUUAUGCUUAUAAUGAAGAUGUCAUAGACUUACUUGGAUCCAAAAGCUGCCUACAAACACCAUCACCUGCUCUUCCAACACUCAAAAUAGGUUCAAUAAGGUGGAAGAGAAGAGGGUUUCUGUAAUUUUGUUGGCCGGAGGGAUGGGUUUAUAAUAAAAUUUGUAAUUUUUUUUUGUUGGUUAACCAAUGGUUUAUUAAUGGUAUACCAAUAAUUUUGCUUGUAAUACAAUGUUCGUAAACGCUAGGUUAA